AUUGCUCUACGCUGUAGUCGCACGUAUUUCCUCAAUAUACGGAUGGGUAUAAACUACCUUCAUAUAUGUAUAAGUGCGUUUCUUUUCCUGAAUAUUAGUGGACAUCGGAAAAAUGAAAAUGAUAACCAGAAGAUUCCGUUAUUUCUUUCACGAGAGAGUUGUCUCUUGUCUGACCUUGUGAAUGCCACAGGCGGUGACGUCACUUCCUGCGAUAACAGUGAUGGAACAUCAGUUCCUUAUCACCAUUGGUGUGACGUUAAGAGCAAGACGGAGAGCGGACAUAAUUCCACCCAGACGUACAUGUGUGAAUGGGGCGCUUGGGGGAGAGAUUUAGGGACUAGCUCGGACGCACAGAUUGAAGCUGGUCGAACAAAACGUUUUUUCUGGUUACUUAUACCUGUACUGGUGUUUUCGUUUCUGUACUGCAGAGAUGGAAGGUGCUUCAGAAAAG